rnacentral:rRNA from 1 species
GUGCUUAACACAUGCAAGUCGAACGGAAAGGCCUCUUCGGAGGUACUCGAGUGGCGAACGGGUGAGUAACACGUGGGUAAUCUGCCCUGCACUUCGGGAUAAGCCUGGGAAACUGGGUCUAAUACCGAAUAGGACCAUUUAGCGCAUGCUUUAUGGUGGAAAGCUUUUGCGGUGUGGGAUGGGCCCGCGGCCUAUCAGCUUGUUGGUGGGGUGACGGCCUACCAAGGCGACGACGGGUAGCCGGCCUGAGAGGGUGUCCGGCCACACUGGGACUGAGAUACGGCCCAGACUCCUACGGGAGGCAGCAGUGGGGAAUAUUGCACAAUGGGCGCAAGCCUGAUGCAGCGACGCCGCGUGGGGGAUGACGGCCUUCGGGUUGUAAACCUCUUUCAGCAGGGACGAAGCGCAAGUGACGGUACCUGCAGAAGAAGCACCGGCCAACUACGUGCCAGCAGCCGCGGUAAUACGUAGGGUGCGAGCGUUGUCCGGAAUUACUGGGCGUAAAGAGCUCGUAGGUGGUUUGUCGCGUUGUUCGUGAAAA